CCUACGGGGGACAGCAGUGGGGGAUAUUGCACAAUGGGGGAAACCCUGAUGCAGCGACGCCGCGUGUGGGAAGACGGUCCUCUGGAUUGUAAACCACUGUCCCCAGGGACGAAGAUGCCGGUACCUGGGGAGGAAGCUCCGGCUAACUACGUGCCAGCAGCCGCGGUAAUACGUAGGGAGCGAGCGUUGUCCGGAAUUACUGGGUGUAAAGGGAGCGUAGGCGGGGUUGCAAGUUGGUGGUCAAAACUACCGGCUCAACUGGGAGUCGCCCUAAAAACUGCCGCUCUUGAGUGAGCUAGAGGCAGGCGGAAUUCGUGGUGUAGCGGUGAAAUGCGUAGAUAUAAGGCGGAACACCAGUGGCGAAGGCGGCCUGCUGGCGCUUUACUGACGCUGAGGCACGAAAGUGUGGGGAUCGAACAGGAUUAGAUACCCCAGGAGUC
rnacentral:rRNA from 1 species